rnacentral:rRNA from 1 species
GAGACUGCGGACGGCUCAGUAUAUCAGUGAUUAUCUGUUUGAUUGUCUUACCCAUUGGAUAACCGUGGGAAAUCUAGAGCUAAUACAUGCAGUUUAUUGGCGUAGUCGCAAGGUUGCGUCAAAGCAUUUAUUAGACUUAACCAUCUACUAUAUGUCAAAGUAUAGUAAGGCGAAUCUAGAUAACUUUGCUGAUCGUAUGGCCUAGUGCCGACGACGUUUCAAUUGAGUUUCUGCCCUAUCAAUUUGUUGGUAAGGUAUUGGCUUACCAAGGUUGCAACGGGUAACGGGGAAUCAGGGUUCGAUUCCGGAGAGGGAGCCUGAGAAACGGCUACCACAUCCAAGGAAGGCAGCAGGCGCGCAAAUUACCCAAUCUAGACAGUAGGAGGUGGUGAAGAGAAGUACUUAGUGGUGGCCAAAUGGUCCCAACUAGGAAUGAACGUAAUUUAAGCAAUUCGAUGAGUAACUACUGGAGGGCAAGUCCUGGUGCCAGCAGCCGCGGUAAUUCCAGCUCCAGUGGCGUGAUUUAAAGUUGCUGCGUUUAAAACGCUCGUAGUUGGAUCACGCAGUGGCAUGUAGUAACACAAAUUUGGUCGACUGACGAUUUUCUUUCCAAGAUUAUUGAAUCUUGACCGGUUUGUGUGUUAACGCUAUAUGUCACUAUUUGCACACAAGUAUGAUAUUUGGUCUUUAGUGAAUCGAGUAUCGUGUCUUGUGGAGUGUGCCUUGAAUAAAACAGAGUGCUCAAAGCAGGCGAACGCUUGAAUGUUAUAGCAUGGAACGAACAAACGUGUAUUUGCGUAUGUUUGAGCAGUUGAGGGCAACUUUGAUUGCUUGAGCGUACGCAGCACCCGCCAAAAUACGGAUGUUGGUUUUCGUAUCAGGUGAUGAUUAACAGGAGCGGUUGGGGGCAUUGGUAUUUGGCCGCGAGAGGUGAAAUUCUUGGACCGGCCAAGGACUAACAGAUGCGAAGGCGUUUGUCUAGACCGUUUCCAUUAAUCAAGAACGAAAGUGGGAGGUUCGAAGACGAUCAGAUACCGUCCUAGUUCCCACUAUAAACUAUGCCGACCUGGGAUCAGUUUAGUGAUUAACAAGCUCUAGGUUGGUCCCCCUGGGAAACCUCAAGUUUUUCGGUUACGGGGAGAGUAUGGUCGCAAGUCUGAAACUUAAAGGAAUUGACGGAAGGGCACCACCAGGGGUGGAGCCUGCGGCUUAAUUUGACUCAACACGGGGAAACUUACCUGGUCCGGACAUCGAAAGGAUAGACAGACUGAUAGAUCUUUCUUGAUGCGGUGAGUGGUGGUGCAUGGCCGUUCUUAGUUCGUGGAGUGAUCUGUCAGGUUUAUUCCGGUAACGAACGAGACCACCUUCUCCAUUUAAGAAACAGUAGCAGGAGGUUGGCUUAAUGUUGCUUCGGUGGCUUUGAGUUAGCCUUCGUAGGUAGGAUUGUUGAAUUUUAUAGGUGGAGUGCGGUACACAAUCCAAUAAUUAUACCUAAGUGGUCUCCGAAAGGGAAAAAAAACGAGAAGCGGUAUGUGGCUAUGUUAAUUGCCGCCAGAGAUAAUUUCUUGGACCUUUCAAGAAAAACAUAUGCUAUAUUCUUUUUACCCGCCCGCUCCUUUAGUGGCGUACCCAGGUGUGUUAUACUUAAACCCAAUAACAUGUGUUGCCCAUGUAUAUCACAUUGAGGCCACCUUGGUGGUGGCAUCCAG